GACGAACGCUGGCGGCGUGCCUAAUACAUGCAAGUCGAACGGGGAAAGCUUUCGGGUGAGUACUAGUGGCGCACGGGUGAGGAACGCGUGGAUAAUCUGCCUUAGAGUGGGGGAUAACUAGUCGAAAGAUUAGCUAAUACCGCAUAAGACCACAGGAGCUGCGGCUCAAGGGGUCAAAGGUUUUUCGCUCUAAGAUGAGUCCGCGUAAGAUUAGCUAGUUGGUGAGGUAACGGCUCACCAAGGCGACGAUCUUUAACUGGUCUGAGAGGAUGAUCAGUCACACUGGAACUGAGACACGGUCCAGACCCCUACGGGAGGCAGCAGUAGGGAAUAUUGCACAAUGGAGGAAACUCUGAUGCAGCGACGCCGCGUGAGUGAUGAAGGCCUUCGGGUCGUAAAGCUCUGUCGCAGGGGAAUAACACAAUGAAUGUACCCUGUAAGAAAGGAUCGGCUAACUUCGUGCCAGCCGCCGCAGUAACAC
rnacentral:rRNA from 1 species